rnacentral:rRNA from 1 species
ACGUACGCUGGCGGCACGCCUAACACAUGCAAGUCGAACGAAGUAGCAAUACUUAGUGGCAGACGGGUGAGUAACAUGUGGGUAUCUACCCUUUGGCCUGGAAUAACACGAGGAAACUUGUGCUAAUACCGGAUAAGUCUUUACGGAGAAAGCUUUAUGCACCAUUGGAUGAGCCCGCACUUGAUUAGUUUGUUGGUAGGGUAAUGGCCUACCAAGGCUACGAUCAGUAGCUGGUCUGAGAGGAUGAUCAGCCACACUGGGACUGAGACACGGCCCAGACUCCUACGGGAGGCAGCAGUGGGGAAUAUUGG